rnacentral:tRNA from 1 species
GGGGCUAUGGUGCAGUCGGUAGCACACCUCGCCAGCAAUGGCGGGGAGACAGGGGUUCGAAUCCUUUUAGCUCCA